rnacentral:rRNA from 1 species
UACGGAGGGUGCAAGCGUUAUCCGGAUUCACUGGGUUUAAAGGGUGCGUAGGCGGAUAGGUAAGUCCGUGGUGAAAUCCUGCAGCUUAACUGCAGAACUGCCGUGGAUACUAUCUAUCUUGAAUGUCGUGGAGGUUAGCGGAAUAUGUCAUGUAGCGGUGAAAUGCCUAGAUAUGACAUAGAACACCCAUUGCGAAGGCAGCUAACUACGCGAUAAUUGACGCUGAUGCACGAAAGCGUGGGGAUCAAACAGG